rnacentral:rRNA from 2 species
UAUGAGAGUUUGAUCCUGGCUCAGGAUGAACGCUGGCGGCGUGCCUAAUACAUGCAAGUCGAACGAGUUCUGAUUAUUGAAAGGUGCUUGCAUCUUGAUUUAAUUUUGAACGAGUGGCGGACGGGUGAGUAACACGUGGGUAACCUGCCCUUAAGUGGGGGAUAACAUUUGGAAACAGAUGCUAAUACCGCAUAAAUCCAAGAACCGCAUGGUUCUUGGCUGAAAGAUGGCGUAAGCUAUCGCUUUUGGAUGGACCCGCGGCGUAUUAGCUAGUUGGUGAGGUAACGGCUCACCAAGGCAAUGAUACGUAGCCGAACUGAGAGGUUGAUCGGCCACAUUGGGACUGAGACACGGCCCAAACUCCUACGGGAGGCAGCAGUAGGGAAUCUUCCACAAUGGACGCAAGUCUGAUGGAGCAACGCCGCGUGAGUGAAGUUUCGGGUCGUAAAACUCUGUUGUUGGAGAAGAAUGGUCGGCAGAGUAACUGUUGUCGGCGUGACGGUAUCCAACCAGAAAGCCACGGCUAACUACGUGCCAGCAGCCGCGGUAAUACGUAGGUGGCAAGCGUUAUCCGGAUUUAUUGGGCGUAAAGCGAGCGCAGGCGGUUUUUUAAGUCUGAUGUGAAAGCCCUCGGCUUAACCGAGGAAGUGCAUCGGAAACUGGGAAACUUGAGUGCAGAAGAGGACAGUGGAACUCCAUGUGUAGCGGUGAAAUGCGUAGAUAUAUGGAAGAACACCAGUGGCGAAGGCGGCUGUCUGGUCUGUAACUGACGCUGAGGCUCGAAAGCAUGGGUAGCGAACAGGAUUAGAUACCCUGGUAGUCCAUGCCGUAAACGAUGAAUGCUAGGUGUUGGAGGGUUUCCGCCCUUCAGUGCCGCAGCUAACGCAUUAAGCAUUCCGCCUGGGGAGUACGACCGCAAGGUUGAAACUCAAAGGAAUUGACGGGGGCCCGCACAAGCGGUGGAGCAUGUGGUUUAAUUCGAAGCAACGCGAAGAACCUUACCAGUUGAUCACCUGAGAGAUCAGGUUUCCCCUUCGGGGGCAAAAUGACAGGUGGUGCAUGGUUGUCGUCAGCUCGUGUCGUGAGAUGUUGGGUUAAGUCCCGCAACGAGCGCAACCCUUAUGACUAGUUGCCAGCAUUUAGUUGGGCACUCUAGUAAGACUGCCGGUGACAAACCGGAGGAAGGUGGGGAUGACGUCAAAUCAUCAUGCCCCUUAUGACCUGGGCUACACACGUGCUACAAUGGAUGGUACAACGAGUUGCGAGACCGCGAGGUCAAGCUAAUCUCUUAAAGCCAUUCUCAGUUCGGACUGUAGGCUGCAACUCGCCUACACGAAGUCGGAAUCGCUAGUAAUCGCGGAUCAGCACGCCGCGGUGAAUACGUUCCCGGGCCUUGUACACACCGCCCGUCACACCAUGAGAGUUUGUAACACCCGAAGCCGGUGGCGUAACCCUUUUAGGGAGCGAGCCGUCUAAGGUGGGACAAAUGAUUAGGGUGAAGUCGUAACAAGGUAGCCGUAGGAGAACCUGCGGCUGGAUCACCUCCUU